GGAGCAGCCCCGAGACCAGCAGGAAGGGUAUAAAAAUAUCUGGAUCCCAUUGGGAUAUGAGUACUCACUCUGUGAUUACCAUGUUCACAGGACAGAGAAGCUCCUGACGGCCAGCGUUCAGAAGCCGGAGGAGAUGUGCACAGCACGCUGUGACGCCCGGUGACAAAGGGUAACUGACAGUGGGAAGGAGCAGCGAUCACUCUGCUUCUGGAUGGCAUUAGUCACAGCAUUAGGGACAUACUGAGCUCCUCUGAGACUGUAACAGCUCAUUGGUCUAGCUUUGGGUAGACCAACAUGACAUGGGGGCAGCAGCCCUGGCAGAUGUCCACACUGUCGUGGAGGAUGCUGCCAGCAGUGGUCUUGAGGAGCCUUCAGGUGGCUUCCCAGGCAGUGAAAGCCAAUUGGGGGUGGGGGGGUGCUGAAGAGGAAGCACACGACA